GCUGCCCGGGCCCCCCGCUCCUCCCGCCGAGCGACCGCACAGCCUGUCCCGUCCGCCAGCGCCCGCCCGCCCAGAACUCCCCCAGGACCGUGGGUACCUCCGUCUGCCCGGCGUGGCACAGCGGCUCUGAUGAGGGCGACAGCAAGGCGAGGGAGAAGAAAAAUCUGCAGGGCGGAGCGGAGCAGCCCUGCUUUUAUGUCGGCAGCCCGCCCCGGCGCGGGGCUGACCGGAUGCCCGGGGGCGGGACGAGAUGGAAUGGCAUGGGAUAGCAUAGUAUGGCAUGGCAUGGCAGGGAUGGCAUGGUAUGGAUGGCAUGGCCCCUCUCCGCUCCGCUCUGCGGCGGCAGACAGCCGGGCCGGGGGCUGCGGUUUGCCAGGGCCUGCCGGGCGGUGGGACAGCAUUCAGCCAGGCGGGGGGAGCGGGCGGAGGGGUGCCUGCCCUCCGCGCCCAGCACGGAGCUGUGGGGUCGCCCCCGGAAAGGAGAGCUGCGGCCCCGGGGGGCAGUGAGGACGCUCGGGCCCCUGGGCUGCUCGCUGAGGCCGCGGAGAGAUUUUUCUGUUGGAGAGAUGACCGACUGGGAGAAGAUGGAUUUCGCACAGCUGGUCUAGAACGAGUGUGGGUGCUGGAGGGCUCCUACUGAGCAGAGCAGAAGAAAAACAACUGAGGCAAAGGAGAUUCCAGUCAAACAGAAGAAUCAUCAUUCUGAACACAAAAGACUGAGUUGAAUUCUGAAUUUUCAUUUAACAUAUGCAUUUCCUUUGAGUCAUAUUUACCAUCUAACAGAGGUUUAUUGAAUUCUAGUUCCCCCUAUCAUCAGAUUUAAAAUAGAGGAAUUAGAGAAGUGACAAACUAUUACCCACUGGUGCCCCAUUUACUACAUCUGGGAAAAGUGCCAAGUCCUGUUUAGUGAGGGUGAGCAGGUGACAUAUGAUGCACUAACAUCUGUUCAAAGUAUUUACUACAUAGCAAAUGUGAGCAGCAGCUUGGUGCACUGAAUAGCAUCCCUUGCAAAUCAAAUUGAGAGAGGGACAAAUUCUCAUCAGAAGAGGAACAUGCCAGCACUAAGUAUCAUCAUGACUUAGCCUUUGGAUGCUCAGGUCCCAGAGUUCACUCCCUGUUAAACUGUGCUUACAGUAUGAUAGUCAGUGUCAGGACCUGAUACAUUGUUUUUCAUUCCCUGAGCAUUUUACUGCAGUGUAGUAAACCUCCUCAGAACAGAUAAGUAAAGCCCUGCAAGAAAAUAUUUUGAUAUGGGCUAGCUCUGUAAUCAGAUUUGUCAUAUGUUCACACAGCACAGAGGAUUGUGUGGGAAGAGGAGUGAAAGCUUGCAAAACAAGACUAACUUAAUUGGAGCUCCCAUGGGAUGAGAAAGUGUGGAAUGCACUCUCUUACCUCUCACCUUGGCAACAGGUAGUAUGAUACACAGGGGCGUGUGUGAAAUUAUGUUCUUUACUCAUGCAGGAAUGCCCAUUAUGUCAGUCCUGUAAGAAGGCAGCAUUGGCUGAGCUUCCAUCUGCUUCCAGAGCUAACCCACUUUAUUCAGAACAGUGAGCUGAAUUAAAAAAAAAAAGGUGCAUUCUAGUGUGAUACAGAAAUGUUACAUCAUAUGCUCACAUAGUAAGUAUGUGACCAAGUGCUCUUAUAAAUCAGAGCUUUGUCUAGGCAGUGCAUGUUUUCUGAUCCCUCAGUUGGAUUUUAUUUGCAAAUGCACAAACUGUAACUUUGAUGCACUAUGAACACAGAUAAUCAGUAGCCCACCACAGUAAGGUGCAAAGAGAUUGCUGUUAUGUAGCUCUUGGCUCACUGUUUUUACAGGCUUCCCUAUCUGUGCAUGAUGUGUUCCCCAUAGUAUCCUUAUUUGUAAGAGAACCUGCCUGUACUGCAGGAGGAAGUAUCUCACAAGAGAUUUUUCUGAUUUUUCUCCUUUCUUCAUGAAAAAAAGCCCAAACCAAACCCUGUAUAUUUGUGAAUGGUUACUUGGGGAGUUUGGGCUGAAACAUCAUUUACAAUACAGAUGUGUACAGGUUGUUGGGAUGGAUUUAAAGAGAGAAGUUGAAAAAAAAAAAAGUAAUUUGUAAUCCUUGCUGAACAGUAAGCAGAGUCAGGCAGCUUCCUACUGUCUGGAACUUAGAAAAAUUUCUUCCUAAUAAAGAGUAAUGCAAGGUUUCCGACAUGGAAAAAUUAGACACAGCAGGGAAGCAAAACUAGCAAAAGAGAUCGGAGGUCUGGGAAAUGAGGCAGCAAGGCUGUUAACCAGCUAACAGAAAGAAAAGUUAGCAAGAUUUUAAUUGAUUAAUUGAAUAUAUGUGAAAGCAGUGGUGGGAGAGUGUAUUCUAGUACAGGAAUAAGCAGGGAUUGGAGGAGAACAUGGGAUGGAAACAGCAGGGUAAAACCAAAGAACUAACUUAAACCUCCAUGUGUUGGAGGGAAGAUGCCAGGUAAGGUGGUCAUGAAUACCUCAUAUGGGCUUGCAGAUCUGUGCCCUGAUGGAAAACUGGAGCAGCCUUUCAUGGUAGGGGCUACAAGUGAAGAUAAAUGAUAAGGGGAGAAGGAAACAAAGUAAUAAUGAUUCUGUGCCAGAGCUAGUCUUCAUUUCUCUGCUUUUCCUUCUUUUCAGAUUCUGUUGCUUUUUGUAUCAUUUCAGAUGCUAAAUAGCCUGGGGACAGUGAGGUGCAGAACUUCUAGCAUACUCUAAUGUACUCUGUAACACGUGGCCACUAAUUCUCUGCGUGUUCAGGCUCAUUCCAUACUUGUAUCACUGUGAGCUACCAUUAAAAUAGGAAACAUCCUUCACUCCCAUGUCCUUUCAUUACUUAGUUUUUUUAUAGGCCUAAAGUAGAUGGGAGUUGUCAGCUCUGCACCAUACUUUCUAGGAUGUCAGCUCAUGCGAUUAUUAAGCAUCAGAAUUUUUUGCUAUUCUGAAGUGCCUCUCAACAAGGCAAAAAGUACCCUCUGUCUCUCAGUGAAACUUUGUGAAUGCCAGAACAUACUUACAUGUCUUGUGAUGCUCUAUUUGCAAUGCUCUAUUUUGGAUUGCUGUAUAUUUCUUACUUGAGAUAAUGCUGCAAAUGUCCGUGAUGGAAGUAAAAGCCGCUACAUUUCUCUGCACUAAUUGUUGGCCUGCAAAUUGAAGAAAAAUGCUAUGAAAGGAAAAACUGCUGAUAUUUUUAUGCUAACUUUUAUGUCCUUGAUAUUAUAGUUAGUUGCCAGAUGCAAUGACAUAAACCCUCGAGUCUCUGCUACAUGGAAAAGUGCAGCAUUGGUGCUUUUGGGUUUUAAUUUGCCUUUUCUCUACAAUUUCUAAAUUAUUAGGGUAUUUAGUUGCACAGGAAAUCCACACAUAAACAUUUUGAUGAAACUGUUUUCUCAGAGAAAUGUACAUUCACGAACAUUGAUCAUGAAGAAUUUACAGGAGUGUACUGGCUUGGACAAGGUUUCACUGUGUUCCCCUGGUUACUUCAGAAGAGCCUCAAACCUGCUACUUUCCGAGUGAUCCAGCUGAUAUCUGAUGAACCAGAGAUUAAAUAACCUUUGCUUUGCCAGGUUUGAAUCAAACUUAAAUGUCACUCUCCCUUAUCUGCAAAUUUGGAUUUCUAUACAUAAUAGUUUAUUUAGGCUGAACAACUCCCCAAAAGAAGAUAAGGGUGUACAGGCCUAAUUUCCACACGGUGGUUCUGGAUGUGCCUCAGGGCUACCCACUUGUGCUGCGUGGUACACAUGACAUGACAUGCAGUGCAAGCUGCUGUAUUCAUGAUGUAAAAUUCUGAUCUAAACUGGGGAGGUGAUUUGUAUUCAGGACUUUGAGGUCUUGAGUACUGUCGAGGCUAUUGCAGUGCACUGUGGGUUAGAAAGUUAGGGAGUUCAAGGAAAAUUAGAGAAUUUAAGGAAAAAGACAUUUCAAAUAUAUAAGCAGGGGGAAAAAAUCCUGUCCAGCUCUUUUAGUCACAUUUCUCAACCUUUUUCUAAGUUGUACUAUAUUUUUGUUGUAUAUUAGUUAUUAUAUUUACACUUGGAUGAUUUUGGUACAUCAGCUUGCCGUCAUUUGUUUGAAAUGCAUCCAAUACAUUUUUCCUACAAUAAAAUGUUGUAAUUUUGUGUAUUAUAUAUGAUUCUUCUUUUAAAAUUCCCUGUUGUCACACUUCCGCUCUGAUUGUAAUGCCUAUGGCUGGCUAUUGAUGGAUAAAACUGAGCACCAUGUUGUUUGGUGGCAAAGGGCUGAUACAUGUGAUACCACAGCAGCACAAAGUGGUAUGAUGAAAAAAAUCUGAAGGAAGUUUGUAAAGAAAGAAAACCUGUCCAGGAGAUUUUUACUCUCAGCUAAUCCUAAGGAAAAGCUUGUCACAGAAAAGUUUUUGUAGUCCUUUAUUGUAUUUGUAUUAUCUUGAUGUAUUGUAUUAUCUUUCAUUGUGUUUUAUACUAGAAAACCUAGAAACACAGUGCUCAAUUAAAACAUUUUUCCACAGCUGACUUC